rnacentral:rRNA from 1 species
UACGGAGGGGGCUAGCGUUGUUCGGAAUUACUGGGCGUAAAGGGUGCGUAGGCGGCUAUCCAAGUCAGACGUGAAAGGCCUGGGCUCAACCCGGGAACUGCGUUUGAGACUGGGUGGCUGGAGUCCGGGAGAGGUGAGCGGAAUUCCCAGUGUAGAGGUGAAAUUCGUAGAUAUUGGGAAGAACACCGGUGGCGAAGGCGGCUCACUGGACCGGUACUGACGCUGAGGCACGAAAGCAUGGGGAGCAAACAGG